rfam:Trichobilharzia regenti genome assembly, scaffold: TRE_scaffold0001278
GUACUAUUGAAGAGUCCCAAACUGGAACGAAACAGCUGUCCAGUAC